GACAGAGGGUGCAAACGUUGUUCGGAAUUACUGGGCGUAAAGCGCACGUAGUCGGCUUUGCAAGUCAGGUGUGAAAUCCCCGGGCUCAACCUGGGAACUGCAUCCGAGACUGCAUUGCUAGAGUAUGGGAGAGGGAAGCGGAAUUUCUGGUGUAGCAGUGAAAUGCGUAGAUAUCAGAAGGAACAUCAGUGGCGAAGGCGGCUUCCUGGACCAAUACUGACGAUCAGGUGCGAAAGCGUGGGGAGCAAACAGG
rnacentral:rRNA from 1 species